rnacentral:lncRNA from 1 species
AAAGAAGAAGCUUCUGAACUCCGACAACUUGUAUGUGAACUAAAAUCUAACAAGAACAGCGACGAUGACAACAACUUUGUAAGAAAGUUAUCGGAAUGAGAUUGUGGUUUCUUUGUAUCAAUCGAAAAGAUCAAGGGGUUUUGGGUUUUGGUUCUUUCUCGAAUAUAAAGUUGGUGAUGAUCAUAUAUUAGUAUAUUAUAUUGUAUGCAUACUAUAUAUAUUGAAGUUAGAUAAUAUAACUUAUAGUUCUUGAGCG